UGGGAAUAAAAGAGACUGUAUGUGACAGUACAGGGAGUUCCUGUUUUAACCCUCAAAGUGAAGUGUCGUCUCAUUAUUGGGGGAAGGAUUUAUUGUAUGCUGUUCCAGUUUGACUGCUAGGAGAGUAAACCUAUUCGUAUGGUUCCUAUUCAACUGUCUACAGCAUUCAUAUGCUUGGGAGAAUUUGUUUCUCCGGUUCGGUGAUUGUGGUGUCUGCCAGAGUGCUUGGAGUCCUCAGGAAGCGCUAGGAGCAUCCUUCAACGGAGGUACCCAGUCGGGGUGCCAGGCGAUCCGUUACAUUGGUGGCAGCGGUGGGAUGGCGUCCUAGUGCGAGGUAAAGCAGCUCAGAGACACAGUUCGUGGAGUUACA